rnacentral:rRNA from 1 species
CCUACGGGAGGCAGCAGUGGGGAAUAUUGGACAAUGGGGGCAACCCUGAUCCAGCCAUGCCGCGUGUGUGAAGAAGGCCCUCGGGUUGUAAAGCACUUUCAGUGAGGAAGAACGCCUGGUGGUUAAUACCCAUCAGGAAAGACAUCACUCACAGAAGAACCACCGGCUAACUCCGUGCCAGCAGCCGCGGUAAUACGGAGGGUGCGAGCGUUAAUCGGAAUUACUGGGCGUAAAGCGCGCGUAGGUGGCUUGAUAAGCCGGUUGUGAAAGCCCCGGGCUCAACCUGGGAACGGCAUCCGGAACUGUCAAGCUAGAGUGCAGGAGAGGAAGGUAGAAUUCCCGGUGUAGAGGUGAAAUGCGUAGAGAUCGGGAGGAAUACCAGUGGCGAAGGCGGCCUUCUGGACUGACACUGACACUGAGGUGCGAAAGCGUGGGUAGCAAACAGGAUUAGAUACCCCGGUAGUC